rnacentral:lncRNA from 1 species
CUGGGAUGUUCCAAGUGUCCUGGAGGCGAUCCCAGUGUCCUAGGGGUGUUCCCAGAACGUUCUCAGUGUCCCUGGGGUAUUCCCAGUGUCCCUGGGGUGUUCCUGGUGUCCCCAGGACAUUCCCAGUGUCCCUGGGAUGUUCCCGGUGUCCCCAGGACAUUCCCAGUGUCCCUGGGAUGUUCCCGGUGUCCCCAGGACAUUCCCAGUGUCCCUGGGAUGUUCCCGGUGUCCCCAGGACAUUCCCAGUGUCCCUGGACGCUGGGAUGCUGUGAUUGUGCCGGGAUCUCACCCCUCUCCAUCCUUCCCAGGUGAGCCGGGCGCCAAAGGAGAGAAAGGCGAGAAAGGCGUGGGACUGAUGGGGGACAGCGGCCCCCCGGGACCCCCAGGUCCCCAAGGGCCACCAGGCUAUGGGAAGAUGGGUCCCCCGGGCCCCGUGGGGCAGCAGGGCAUCCCCGGCAUCCCCGGCCCUCCCGGUGCCACGGGGCAGCCGGGCAAGACGGGGCACUGCAGCCCGGCCGAGUGCCUGGGGGCCGUGCCCAUGGAGCAGCCGCUCUUCCAGCCCAAGAACGUCAAGGGUCCCUUCGGCUGAGGGGUCCCGCGCCCCCCGAAUUUGCUGUUAAUGUUGUUAAUAUCGUUUCCCUGCUGUGCCGGGGCCGUGCCCGGCGGGGGGCUCGGGGGUUGUACAGCUCCGUGGCAAUCGCAGGGGCGGGUGGAUCCUGCCCCAGAAAUACACCAGUGCUGGUGUCCCCGCGCCUCCCGGCUCCGUGACUGGACACAGCCCGGUCUGCGCCUCCUCCCCAUCCCUGUCUCCAACCCUGCCACCGAGGGAUGCUGCUCGGGUCACUUCUGAGGCCGCUCCGGCUGGCGACACGGUGACCCUGAGCUCGCUGUGAUCCUGGGACUGAUGGGGGAAUCCCAGUCCUGAUCCCAGGUGAUCCUGGCCCUGUCUCAGGGGCAAUCCCAGCCGUGAUCUUGGGAUAUCCCAGCCCCUUUUUGGUGGAGAAUCAUCCCAGCACAUCCACACCGGAGAUCUGUGAUCUGGUGGGAUCCCAGUCCUGCCUCUGGAGGAAUCCCAAACUGAUUCCCGUGGACAUCCCAGUUCUUAGCUUGGGAUUCUCGCCCUACUGUCAGGCUGACCCCAACUCAGUCUCUUGGGCUGAGCCUGAUCAUGGCCGCAAUUCCUGGGAAUCCCAGAGCACCAUCCCAGCCCCGCUACUUGAGGAAUCUCGGUCCUGCUGUCAGGGGAACCCUUGCCCUCAUUUCGCGGGGUCGCCAGCCCCGCUCCCAG